UCCCCAAUCAGGGAUCAAACCUGCACCCCCUGCAUUGGAAGGUGAAGUUUUAACCACUGGACCACCAGGGAAGUCCCAGAGGAUGCUCUUUUGAGAGGCUAACAUUUGAACGGAAGUCCAUGCGGAGUGAGAGAGGAAGUCACAGAGAUAUCGGAGCGUGGGACAUCCCAGGAGAGGGAACAGCAAGUUCAAGGGGACUUGAGGCAGGAAUGUGCCUGCAAACUUGAGAAACAAGGAGGCCAGUAUGUCCAGAAUGGAAGGAGCCAGGGCCAGCUGGAUGUGCUGCCUUCCUGGUUGCUUCACUUCACCUCACCGGUGCCCUUGGGCAAGAUCCUGCCCUGUCCUGAGAUUCAGGGGCUCCAUCAGGGCAGCAGGGACUCCCUGCUCCAUCCAAGCACUGCUCAGAACCUGUUUAUCUAUCUGUAGAGUGGACACAUGAAUCCCUGCCCAUUUCAUAGUGAUGGCCCAGGAGGACGAGGACAUGCUCCGUACAUGGUCAAGGGCUGGGUGAAGUGGCGCUGACGUAGUGGAAGACGCAGCAGGAACCUGCCCAAGGCCAACCUGAGGUGGCAGAGUUAUAAAGUCAGUCAAAGACAACCAACAGCACACAGCCCCACGGAUCAGAUCAUCAGGGAUGCUCAGCCUUCCUCUGAAAGGACACUUAGGAAUCUCUUUUGCCUCUUCCAAGGCUUUUAUAUGUUCUCUUGACUAACCCUUAGAAGGAUCAGGAAAAAUCAGGGAGCAGCUGUUCCUGAGGGAGUAGGUCAUCUGGAGAGAAUCCGGUCCCCAUCCUUCCACCAUCCCCUUCUGCAUCCAGGUGACAGAUUUCCAACUCUAGCAGGAGCCGGCCAGUCAGUGCCCACCAGCAGGUGGCACAGGAGGCAAAUUCUCAGCAGCACCGUAGGGAAUUCAAGGGCUGGGAGCUGGGGGCUGGCUCCCAAUUUUUGACCACUGCUGGCCUCUGGGAGUCAGCUUCCAUGACUUGAGAAUAUCACAGGGCUGUUCUGUGUGAGCUCACCUCCAGUUGUGAAGUCAUUCAUUCACCGAUUCGGUCAUUUUUUCGUUCAAGAAACAUGAGGUCAGGCCCACAAAUCAUGUUCCUGAGUUUCUCCAGAGAAUCAGUCCUUGUCUUUGCUUGUCUUUGUUUGCCCAGCUUUGCUGCCAGGACUCAGAGCCACCUGAAAUUCUGAAAACUCAGAAUCACUCCUCUGCACCCCAGCCCUGCCUACCCCUG